rnacentral:tRNA from 1 species
UGGGGUUUUGGCUCAGUGGUAGAGUGCUUGCCUAGCAUGAAUGAGGCACUGGGUUCGAUUCGCAGCACCACAU